CAUAGGAAUCUGCCCGAUAGUGGGGGAUAACCUGGGGAAACCCAGGCUAAUACCGCAUACGUCCUACGGGAGAAAGGGGGCUCCGGCUCCCGCUAUGGGAUGAGCCUAUGUCGGAUUAGCUAGUUGGUGAGGUAACGGCUCACCAAGGCGACGAUCCGUAGCUGGUCUGAGAGGAUGAUCAGCCACAUCGGGACUGAGACACGGCCCGAACUCCUACGGGAGGCAGCAGUGGGGAAUAUUGGACAAUGGGGGAAACCCUGAUCCAGCCAUGCCGCGUGUGUGAAGAAGGCCCUCGGGUUGUAAAGCACUUUCAGCGAGGAAGAACGCCUAGCGGUUAAUACCCGCUAGGAAAGACAUCACUCGCAGAAGAAGCACCGGCUAACUCCGUGCCAGCAGCCGCGGUAAUACGGAGGGUGCAAGCGUUAAUCGGAAUUACUGGGUGUAAAGCGCGCGUAGGUGGCUUGAUAAGCCGGUUGUGA
rnacentral:rRNA from 1 species